UAGAAAAGAAUACGUGGCAGUUUAUUUCUCGUUGGCCUCAGUCAUCAGUGGCGACCCCUUGAAGUGGCAGUCAACGCGCAGUGGUGUACUUCAAGAUGACAAUGUUAACCCAGGAGUUGCGGAACGAGUUGAAACCAUUAUCACCUUAUCUUAGCGGGCGCAUUAUCAGCGCGGAAGGCGACACCCUGCGCGAAACCGUGCGCUUAUAGUUUACGGCGACCGCCAGCAAAUGUUCUGCACGCCACGUAAAAUGCACCACAGUCGCGAAGCGAUGUUCAAAAGCGCGGUCAACCAAGAGACGUUGGUCAUGAUGCCGGAAACCAGAGAGGAACGCGAUGGCCGUGUUCCAGCCACUUCGCCUGCCGCAUUCCUUGAUACAGUCUCCAAUGAAACUGGAACUCUGCCGCCCUUCCACGAUUCGCCACAAUCAGUCGUGCUGCUCGACACCACGACCGGCAGUUCAACUCUUCCAAAGGUGUCCGACGCAGACAUCGCUUUCGAAUACAUUGACGAGUUGUUGGCGGAAGAGUUGCGUGAUCGAAUUCGGUCCUUCCGGAGAGCAUCUGCUGCCAAGGAGGAGAGGUUGGGUGACUACUACAGGAUCCGGCGCAUACACAAGAUCCUGGCCAUGCGACCCUAAGAAAAGACAGUGACUGGAGUCUGAAAUCACAGACGUGUUUAUUGACAAGGCCUCCGGCAAGCGAACAACAGCUUCUGUCGCCACAAGAAAUUUUCGCUUUGCCUAAUCGACCUGACCAGGGGACUUAUUUUAUUAUGACUUUAAUGAGACACACUCCUGUAUAUACGCACGCAAUUCCGCCGAAAUUGGGCUGAAAUUGGGUAAUUCAUUGUUCGCGUUUUCAAAGAUCGCGUUCUGUCUGUUAAGUGCCUGGCAAAUUUUCCCUCUUUCUGAAUAUUUGUUGCAGACAGAACGGGCGGUACUUUACCAUAGUCGUUACAUUGAUGCGCUUGGUGUGCACUGCGCGUGGCUCAUCUGAAUUGUCGCGCGAUUCAUGGGUCAUUCUUGCAUGCCAAAUAGUUUUAACGAAGCCUUCAUCCUUGUCAACCAAAGGUUUGUUCCAUGCCGGCAUUACCACAUUGUUGUGACAAGCACUGUCUCCUGUGUGCAGCCAUUCAACCUUCGCUAAAGUUCUCUUGUGCUUGUCCGCGCGCGUUCCGUGACAUGCGCCUCUGUUUUUUUUGCGCAAUAUCUUGUCCCUUCGUUGAAUGUGUGGAAAUGCCAGCUCGUGUGUUCCAGGUCAUAUACAGGUUGUCCCGCAUAACUUGAGCCAAAGUUUUAAAAAUUAAAGGCACUCCGGAUGCGAGUUGAACCGAAUGCAUAAUGUUGGCACUGGCUUAGAGUUACUCGGGCAAUUUUUUUUAUUCUCCCCUUAACUAAUGGAUUAGUUCAGUUUAUUAAUCAACUAUUUAAGUAUUGGCUGCAGACCCCAAGUGUGACACGCAAACUUGUAGAGCACCUUGAGAAACACCUCAAUAAAUUGUUUCCAACACGA